CGGAAGGACAAUCAGCUGCCUUAUAUGGGAACGCCUUUGUUAUUGAUCCUACAACAGGUAGCAUAACAGUAAAUGCAGAAUUAGACUAUUCAAAACUGAGUUUCUACCAGUACAUCAUAUUUGGAACUGAUGGCGAACACAUAUUAAAAGGAAAUGCAACAUUGAUUAUUAAAAUACAAGACAUUCAGAACAAACCACCAUACUUUACCGGUCAACCGUUUAAUGCUGACAUUCCAGAGGAGAGUCCUGUUGGUUC